UACGGAGGGGGCUAGCGUUGUUCGGAAUUACUGGGCGUAAAGCGCGCGUAGGCGGCUUUGUAAGUUAGAGGUGAAAGCCCGGAGCUCAACUCCGGAAUUGCCUUUAAGACUGCAUCGCUAGAAUCAUGGAGAGGUGAGUGGAAUUCCGAGUGUAGAGGUGAAAUUCGUAGAUAUUCGGAAGAACACCAGUGGCGAAGGCGGCUCACUGGACCAUAACUGACGCUGAGGCGCGAAAGCUAGGGGAGCAAACAGG
rnacentral:rRNA from 1 species